rnacentral:lncRNA from 1 species
GUUCCUUUCCUCUUCUGAUACAUAUUUGCAUUCCAGGCUUCAGAAAACUCCACACCAGCUUGGUGGGUUGACUGUGAUUCUCAGUGUAUCUUUCACAUGGUCUGUUCACCAAACGAGGGAACAUGAACUCCUCACUGAAGUUUCCACCUUACCUGCACUGCAGCAAGCUGGGUCAUUAGUGGAUGGGACCUUGGCAACACUUUGUGCUGGUUCACAGUCGGGAUGUCUGCAGAGAGACCCUGAGAAGAUUCAUGCGGUGGCUUGCAGAGAAGUCUCUGCUGGAACAAGGUAAUUUUUACAUCUAAGACAGAAGUCAAGGAAGUAAAUGCCCUAAGUUUACUACGUGGUAAGUUGAGGGAAAGAUCAGGGCAUGGUGAUAGAACUACACUGAAUUUUUUUUGAGAGUUCAUGGUGCAGUUUCCAAUGAAGAGCAUAGUCACACUUUUACCGCAUAUAUCAAUCACACUGUCUCAGGGGUGUGGAAAUGAGCAAGAAGAAUGAAUAUGUCCAACAAUUAGCGCUGCAUGAGAAUGAGAUGAAGAGGAAAAUUUCUUGAUUUGCCACCUAAAUCAUAAAGUUGGAUCAAUAGAAUUGAUAGAAUACAAUCUCAGUGAACUUACUUACAAUCCUCAUUUGGGUUCUCUUCAGAUAGAUGUAGUGCAAAACAGAAAAAACAAACAAAAAACAAACAAACAAACAAAAAACCAAACAAACAAAACCAAAAAAACAACUUAGUUGUUCAUCCUUUGUGGCUAAACCUAAUACUACAUGUUCAGCAUUGACAUUUUCUCAAAUCGUUUAUGUACUUUUUUCUAUACAUGGCAUAUAAUUUUGUCAUGGCAUACUCCUCUUAUUUGCUGAUUUUAUUAUGUUCUUCCAUUAUCACAUUGGUUUGGGAAUAUAAUGAAAGAGAGACAGAUACAUGUAAGAACUAAUUAAAAAGUGUAAGUGAAGGAGAAGUAGAAGUAUUUUCUACCAGUUGCAUCGUGGAUCAAAAAAACUUAGUUCUCAUGGUGUCUACGACUUUGA